rnacentral:rRNA from 1 species
UACGUAGGUGGCGAGCGUUGCCCCGGAUUUAUUGGGCGUAAAGCGUGUGCAGGCGGUUCGUUAAGUCCGUUGUGAAAGCUCCCGGCUCAACUGGGAGAGGUCUUCGGAUACUGGCGGACUCGAGGGAGGCAGAGGAAGGUGGAAUUCCCGGUGUAGUGGUGAAAUGCGUAGAGAUCGGGAGGAACACCAGUGGCGAAGGCGGCCUUCU